rnacentral:rRNA from 1 species
AUUGAACGCUGGCGGCAGGCCUAACACAUGCAAGUCGAGCGGAUGAAGGGAGCUUGCUCCUGGAUUCAGCGGCGGACGGGUGAGUAAUGCCUAGGAAUCUGCCUGGUAGUGGGGGAUAACGUCCUGAAACGGGCGCUAAUACCGCAUACGUCCUGAUGGAGAAAGUGGGGGAUCUUCGGACCUCACGCUAUCAGAUGAGCCUAGGUCGGAUUAGCUAGGUGGUGGGGUAAAGGCCUACCAAGGCGACGAUCCGUAACUGGUCUGAGAGGAUGAUCAGUCACCCUGGAAGUGAGACACGGUCCAGACUCCUACGGGAGGAAGCAGUGGGGAAUCUUGGGCAAUGGGCGAAAGCCUGAUCCAGCCAUGCCGCGUGUGUGAAGAAGGUCUUCGGAUUGUAAAGCACUUUAAGUUGGGAGGAAGGGAAGUAAGUUAAUACCUUGCUGUUUUGACGUUACCAACAGAAUAAGCACCGGCUAACUUCGUG